rnacentral:lncRNA from 1 species
AUGCCUCCUUAUCGAUCCAAAACUCGGCACAAAAAGGUUGGAAAAGAGAAAACAUUGAAUCAUGAGAAAAAGGCAAGCUCCCCAGGAGAUUCAAAGAUCCACUGUGGGAGACGGCGGGAAGGUAAGCACAAAAGUCAGUUGAAGAACAAAGAGUCAUUGACUGAAAAAGAUGACAACCUUGAGCAAGACCCUUUAAAAACCCAAGGGCCAGCCAAGGAAAGCAAAGAAAGUGGCCACAAAGAGCUAUUCUGGGGGGAGAAAGCCUAUGAGAGAAAUGAUAAAAAAGAAUCUGGUGUGGGGAGAAAACAUGGAGAACAAUUAGUGUCCAAGUUAGAGAGGAAAAAAGCAAAGGCCUGCAAACCACAAGAGGUGACAUCAGUACAAGAAAGUGAGGACAGCAGUGAUAAGGAGGAAAAGACUGCCACAAACAGCAAGAAACGCAGUAUUAAAAGUAAGUGUGGAAAGCAUCCUGGUGCUAUUGAAAAAGUCAGUGACUCAGAGUCUGUAGAGUCCUCUGCAGUACAAAGUGUUGAAGGCUCUUUUCAGAAACAUGACUUGCCACAGAAAGCACACAAUGCCAGGCAGAGAAAGAAGCUUAAUGAGGAUCAUGGCAUUAAGAAGGCUUCUGAGCAGAAGUCAGGUUCUCAGUUCCAAGGCAGAAUAGCAAGGGAAAAAGGUGAGAGAAUGGGGAAAAAGCAAGUUGGAAAACGUACCCAGAUUACGGUCACUGAAAGUGCAGAAGAAAAGUUACUGGAAACCUCCAAUAACUCUGGUUCAGACUCCAGCAAUGAAAGCCAUUGUGCCUAUAGAAAAGAAACUUCAGUGGACAGCACUGCAAGCAGCGAAGAGAAGAGUAACUCCUCAGAAGAUAGCACCAGUGAGAAAGAAGCUAUGCUGGAGGAUAUUCCUGUGGCUGGAGGAAAAGGCUCCAAGGAAGUACUCGGUGAAAGCAAUGAAGCUUCUAGUAAGACUGAAAGAGAGCAGGUGCCCACAGAUGGAAGGAAAGAAUCUGAGGAGGAAGGCACUGACUUUGCAGGAUUAGAGGCGGAGGAGAAAAAGAGGAAGCAAGAUGACAUGCCAAGACAUCCAAGAUCUACUCUAGCUGAGAGCAGUGAGAAAAGCGAUGAUGUGAGCAUUUCAGGAUCCCAACUGAUAAGUCCUAAGAACAGAGAAAAUGGUAGUACCACAGGAAGCAAGGAAAAAACGUUAGAAAAUGACAAGGUUCAGGAUAUGUCAAAAGAUGCACGUGAUAAUUCUGGUGACAGUGGGGAGAACAGCACUGAAGGGAAUGCUGAAAAAGGAAAAGAAAGGGCAAGAAGAAAACCGCUACCUAGUGCUGUGAAAGCAAAACUCCCCAUUAGCAAAGUACUUCAGGGAACUGAACAGGAAAAAAAGGUGAAUGAUGAAGGCAGCACACUGGAAGACAGCCCUUUGCUUUUCAAGCAGCAAAUGACAUUGAAAGAGAAAUGCAUGAAGUGUGAGAGUGCAGAACAAGGAAAAGUGGUAGGACAUAUACAGAGGGAUGGUUCUUCAGACCGCAGCAAGCAGGCAGUAGCAGCAAUGAUGCUUACUAAGAAAUACUCUUCUCAAUCCCAAAUCCUUCUCAAUCUGAAAAGCAAACAUAAAAAUGCUGAGACCAAACUAUUAACAAGCUGUAAACCAAAUCCUGUCCAGAUGGCUUUGGAAAGCAGCUCUGAACUGAAAAACGUUGAAAGUAUCUGUUCAAAACCUACAACUCUACAAACCUUCAGUACACAGAAGGAACCCAACAUAGCUCAGAAUUUAGGAGAGAAAAGAUUAAGUCUUUCAAGCGUGUCAAGCUGCUCCUCUAUUAGAAAAAUAUCAUCUGAUAAGCAGCACCUUGGCAGGAAGAAGAAAGUUGGAAAGGUUACUGGAAAAAUGAAACUGGGUUCACGCCAGACUUUUGAGACAAAAAAAGAGAAAGCAGAAGAAGUGGUUGCAGAGGCACCUUCUGCAAAAGCAAAUGUGCGUGAUGGGAAGGGAUCCAAGUACUUGCACAGCACCCAUUCUAACUUUAGAAAAGUCACCACCCGGCGUGGUCAAAAACCUUCCAAGAAAGCAAGCCUGAAAGCUCGCCUGCUGAGUGUGGCACGUGCAAUUGGUAUUUCAGGAUGGCUCUUGAAGAAAUUUGGGAAGAGGAAGAGGAGCAGUAAGCCUUUCUGGCUGAGAAGUAGAAUGGCUAUCAGGAUUGUAAGUACUGCUGGGUGGGUUGGUCAGUCUGACAAAACUUGCCCUGAUGUAGCCGGACAGCUGGGGAGGGUUGAGGUGAGCGACAAAGGCUCAUCUCCUCCAUUAGCGGAGGGGAGGGGGGGCCCUAAAACAUCAGAGGUGCUGGGAUGUGCUGAUUUGCCUUCUGGUGAUUCCCCUCUUCAAGGAACCGGUUCCUUUCCAAACUCACUUAGCUUGGAUGAGGACAAGAACAAUAUUCCUGAUGCCAAGUUUGCUAUAGUUCUGCCCAGAGUGCACAGCAUGGUUAAGUCAAAGACCUCCUCACCUGCGGGCUCUGGAAGUGAUCGUUCCCUAGAGAAACCGAGAGCUCUAUCAGACAGAAGAUCUGUGAUGCCUGUGCAACAGGGCUGCGGAUUCAAGAGUGACCUUCCCAGAUCCUUGAUGGAUCAAAGCCUUCAGAGAAACAGCGAACUGUAUUCCUGCAAGAGGGAAAUAUUUGCAUCAACAAGUACAAGACAGGUGACACCUACUGCAACCCAAUGCAGAGUGACCAGCCUUCCGAGCUCCUUGCCCCAGCAGGUAAAAACACCCAAGAGUGCUGCCACAUCCCAUUUCUCCACUGGGCAAACUUUGCAGCCUCACCACAAAGACCCUCACCUUUCCCUUUCUUCAAAAGCAUCUGGAAAUUAUUGUUGUCCAGGCUUCCUUCCACCUGAAGAAGAGGAUCCAACACGUACAACAGAAUAUUCUGGGGAGGUGGAUGUCAAAGAGUAUUCAGGUGGCCUCCAGACUGCAAGUUCCGAAGCCAUACCUUGUGUUCACUGGUCCCAGCAGCAGGCUCAGGGAUGUGAUCCUGUGGCAUGGCUGAACUCUGAAUUAUUGCUCCCACAAAUCACCAUCGAGAACCUCAGCAAAUGGGCCAUCUACAGGGAUCCACAUCUGGCCAACAGCCACGUGGUGAAGGUCUGCAAGGAUCAGUGGGAGGCAGAAGACAUCACUGACGAUAUGCUGGAGAUGGACUUCAUGCAGAAACAGGUACAGGUGUUGUCUCCAAUAUUGGGAUGA